rnacentral:rRNA from 1 species
GAUGAACGCUGGCGGCGUGCCUAACACAUGCAAGUCGAGCGAGAAGUAAAGAAGUGAAGCUUCGGUAGAUUUUCAUUAUGGAAAGCGGCGGACGGGUGAGUAACGCGUAGGCAACCUGCCCUGUACAGGGGGAUAGCCACCCGAAAAGGUGAUUAAUACCCCAUGAUGCAAGAGAUACACAUGUAUCACUUGUCAAAGAUUUAUCGGUAUGGGAUGGGCCUGCGUCUGAUUAGCUAGUUGGUAGGGUAACGGCUUACCAAGGCAACGAUCAGUAGCCGACCUGAGAGGGUGAUCGGCCACAUUGGAACUGAGACUCGGUCCAAACUCCUACGGGAGGCAGCAGUGGGGAAUAUUGCACAAUGGGCGAAAGCCUGAUGCAGCAACGCCGCGUGAAGGAAGAAGGCCUUCGGGUUGUAAACUUCUGUCCUAGUUAACAAAGGCAUACCCUGGAGGAGCCCCGGA